CCACAGUCGGGGUUGUAUGAUCAACAAGAACAUGAAUACACAAUCCAGUUGCGUCAGGCAAGCCCAUGUGGUUGCAUCUCUUCUACCCUACCCAAAGGCUGAAGGUUUUUUGUGUCUGCCUACUGCCAGCAGGUUACAGUGCUAAUGAGCCUGUCUUGUGUCCUCUGAACAAUCUGUGCUGGAGUUGGAAUAUGUUUCCUGUCGUUCAUCAGAAGAACUGGCAAGCAAGCAAGGCUGACAGAUGUAGUUCAGACUUGUGAGGAUUUCCUGUUGCAAAAGUUUGGCAUUCACUGACAUUUCCUGGUGGUGCAGAAAAGCCAGAAGAGUAAUGGGUUGUUGUAGUGGUUUGGCCUGAAGAUUCUUUCUGUGGACCUAAGUGGAUGGUGAUUUGAAUUGCAUGUCCUGCAAGAUCUGGACAGGACAAAGAUACUUUCCCUGCUUUAGAAGAAGGAAAUAGUGAAAGAGGGAACUUCUGAACUGCAUUCUUCAGAAAUUCCCAGGAGGUGUGAUGAGUGCACUUCUUCCAAGACUGCUAAUGAAAAGCCACAGUGUUCUGGAGGAGGUACAGAUGGCUUCUGAAGGAUGGCUGUAUGAUGCUUCAUUCAGUGGGAUUCCGACUCAUCAUACCCAGCCUGCUACCUCAGAGACAGGAGCUGAUGUUUCAAAUAUGAUUGUGGAGCUGAGUACCUUCUGGAGCAGUCACGCUGCAUCUUGGAUGAAUACCAAAGCUGCUGAGCGUUCAGCACUGCGACAGUCUCCAAGGGAGCUGGAAAUGUAUGACCCAGGAAGACCCUCAGCUCCAGAAUUCACCAGGAAGCACAGCAUCUCUUUCAUCCCAAGCUAGCUAAAACCUUUCCAUUGGAGCAGGCUGUUCCUAAUCAAAUACCUCUGUGCCAAAAGAUUGUUUGAGAAUUCGUGAUUUAUGUGUUUAAAGAGACUGAGGAAAGGGGCCUUCUGCUAAACAUUCUGUUUCUUUAUCCUGCAUAACCACACCUUCCCCAAAUUCAUGCUUUGACAUAGAUAACAGAAAUGAGAUAAAAGUGGUAGAGAUAUUAUGAUUUUUAAUGUUCACUGGAUAUUAUUUUUCAUGCUUGUUCCUGUGCUCAAGACCCUAAAAGUCAAGGAAAAACUAAAAAAAAAGAAGGGAUUUGCCAGGCAAAUGGUAUGGAGGAGGAUAAGAAAAACUGUUGCACAACACAACUGUCACAUAUGUUUUUUCCACCACCCUCUAUCCUCUUUGGUUGUUCAGUAUGUAAGAAUAGUUUUCUUUUCCCAAAUGCUUACAGAACCUCCCUACAAGACUAGUAUCUGCAAAUGACAUGAUUUUUACCCAGAGAAAAUGUGUGUGCAGGCUGGACGGGGUUAUGUUUUUUAAUGUUCUUUGCACUCUCAACUAGUCUGCAGUUGCAAGUUGCUUUACUGGCAUUUAUUCACUACAAUUUGCCACAUGAAUUCCUUUCCUCAGCCUUGCUCACCAGUUGAGAUUUGCUAGGCUUGAGGAGCUUGAGGUUGGAUAUUAGGACAAGGUUCUUCAGAGGGUGGUUGGGCACUGGAACAGGCUACCCACAGAAAUGGUCACCAGCCAGUCAAUCCAGCCUGACAAAGUUCAAGAAGCAUUUGAAAAUGCUCUCAGAUCAAUAGUGUGACUCAUGAGGUGUCCUGUCCAGGACCAGGAAUUGUACUCCAUGAUCUUUGUGGGUCCCUUCCAACUCAGGAUGUUCUACAAUUCUUUGAUAAAAUGUAGCACUCAAACACUGAGGUCACAGGAGAAAUGGCAGUGAUGGUGCAUGCCUUUACAGCUUCCACCACAGGAAUACCCUAUGCAAGUGCUUUUCCAUCACUGUGAAAGCAACUGGUUUGUAUUGAACUGCCUGGAAUGUAGGGCAGAGGGAAGUCGCAGGUCAUCAUCCCAGCCAUGUUCAUGAUCAUCCCAGCCAUUUCUGCAAGAAACAUUUGACUACAUCCUGCCUGCAUAGCUCUUAUUCCAGUUAUUUACCUUCUUUUCACAUUGCUGCAGCCAGAAGAUUGUAAAGUGCCUUUUUAGGGCAGGUUUGAAUUCAGUGAGACUACUUACACAAGUAGCUGUCAGCCAGUUUGAGCUGUAUGACCCUUGGUUCCCAUUUCUAGGACACACUGCUCAAGACACCUAGGCCUGUUACGUCAAUAACCUCUUGAUUGCUCCUUCUCAGUCCUGGUCCUGCAGACUCUGCUGAGAAGCUUCAGCACAAAACAUCCCCAGUGAAGUUUUUAUAAACUGAAUAAAUGGAGGCUUAUGAAUGGAUGGUACAGAA